CCUACGGGUGGCAGCAGUGAGGAAUAUUGGUCAAUGGACGAAAGGCUGAACCAGCCAAGUCGCGUGAAGGAUGACGGCUCUAUGGGUUGUAAACUUCUUUUAUAGGGGAAUAAAGGGAUCCACGUGUGGGUAUUUGUAUGUACCAUAUGAAUAAGCAUCGGCUAACUCCGUGCCAGCAGCCGCGGUAAUACGGAGGAUGCGAGCGUUAUCCGGAUUUAUUGGGUUUAAAGGGUGAGUAGGUUGUUUUUUAAGUCAGUGGUGAAAGUUUGUGGCUCAACCAUAAAAUUGCAGUUGAAACUGGAAGACUUGAGUGUGUUUGAGGUAGGCGGAAUGCGUGGUGUAGCGGUGAAAUGCAUAGAUAUCACGCAGAACUCCGAUUGCGAAGGCAGCUUACUGGACCAUAACUGACACUGAAGCACGAAAGCGUGGGGAUCAAACAGGAUUAGAUACCCGUGUAGUC
rnacentral:rRNA from 1 species